rnacentral:rRNA from 1 species
AACGAACGCUGGCGGCAUGCCUAACACAUGCAAGUCGAACGAGACCUUCGGGUCUAGUGGCGCACGGGUGCGUAACGCGUGGGAACCUGCCUUUAGGUUCGGAAUAACUCAGAGAAAUUUGAGCUAAUACCGGAUGAUGUCUUCGGACCAAAGAUUUAUCGCCUUUAGAUGGGCCCGCGUUGGAUUAGCUAGUUGGUGGGGUAAAGGCCUACCAAGGCGACGAUCCAUAGCUGGUCUGAGAGGAUGAUCAGCCAUACUGGGACUGAGACACGGCCCAGACUCCUACGGGAGGCAGCAGUGGGGAAUAUUGGACAAUGGGCGAAAGCCUGAUCCAGCAAUGCCGCGUGAGUGAUGAAGGCCUUAGGGUUGUAAAGCUCUUUUACCCGAGAUGAUAAUGACAGUAUCGGGAGAAUAAGCGCCGGCUAACUCCGUG